GCCCCUAUAGUAUAAUGGCCAUCACAGUACUCUUGUAAAGUACAAAAGGGAGUUCGAUUCUCUCUGGGGGCA
rnacentral:tRNA from 1 species